CAUCCUUUGUGGGAAGUGGGGGGUGGGGAGGGGGGGAAGGCCGGACGCAAAGAACAAUCAGUGUCAGCGGCCGGGAGAGGAGCGGAGCGGUUCGGCGGUGUCAUCGGGCCGCCAGUUCAGAUUGCACAUUGUGUGUGCAUGUGCAUAAGGCAGGAUGGCCCAGGAGACGAAUCAGACGCAGGUCCCCAUGCUGUGUACCACAGGCUGUGGUUUCUACGGCAACCCAAGGACUAAUGGAAUGUGCUCAGUUUGCUACAAGGAGUUUCUACAGAGACAGCAGAAUGGUGGACGGAUAAGCCCACCAGCAGCUAGUGGAGCCAGUAGUAACAGUACUUCAAGUACGGAGUCGAUCCCAGUUCAAUGUACGGAAGAAAACCCUGAAAUGUUGGCUGAUACCUCUGUGAAUGCUACAUCUGCCAAAACUAGCACUCCUGUAACACAGCAGAUGACGGCAAUGAGUAUCUCUCAAGAUGAACCAAGCACUGAAAGCGAGGGAGCUCUAAAAGUGGAAGUCAUCACAGCAUCAGCUGCUGUGAACUUAGAAACUGCAGAGAGUUCCACAGAAGGAGAGAAAGCUCCAGAAAAAACAAAGCCCAAGAAGAACAGAUGCUUUACUUGCAGGAAGAAGGUUGGAUUGACUGGGUUCGAUUGUCGAUGUGGAAACCUUUUUUGUGGGCUUCACCGCUAUUCAGACAAACACAGCUGUCCUUAUGAUUACAAGGCUGAAGCAGCAGAGAAGAUCAGGAAAGAGAAUCCUAUUGUGGUGGCUGAAAAGAUUCAGAAAUUAUGAACUGCUAUAUUGUAGCAAAACUUUCAUGUGGGAAAAAUCCAACAUGGUAUCUUGAAGAGCCCAGCUUAAUACAAAAUCUGUUUUUGUGCAAACGGAUAGGCAUGAGAUUGGCAGAUGGUUUAGUCAAUGGCUUCCUGCUGGUGGAAAUUUGCCUUGUGGUACAAAUGAAGAAGCAAUAUUAUCAAGUGUGGCAAGUUCAACCAGCAAAGGAAUAAGGUGAACUGUACCACACAUGCAGUCCCUUUUUCAGCAGUGGGCUUUUGACUGUGCCUUCUGCCUUAAUAGUCUACUGAGAUCAAGUCUGCAGGGAACCAGGCCAGUGUACCCAUUUAUGUGCCUGUAGGUACUUGUGCCCCUUCAUUACCUGAGUAAUGACCUCAUUUGGUUUACUUCUAUUUUAAUGAGCUACUAACUUUGUGUGUCUGAUCUAGAUGAUUAUAUUCCUUUUCUCCCCUCAGGAAAUUACUUGAUAUAUAACAGACACCUGGAAUUGUCCAGUACUCUACAGACCGAAAGAACAGACUUAGAAGUUGCCAUGGUACACAAAAAGAAAUUAUGUUGAAAUCAAUCUAAUAAACUGAUUAAAAUUAGUUUUCACUGUUAAAUGAAAAAGCUAAAAAUUGCAACUGUCAAACACUAUACUGUGUAUCAUGGCUGCUUUCUGAGUUUAAAAGGUUUAUUCAUACAGGUAAGUAUAGAUACAUUAAUGACGAGAUUUCUAAAGUAUUUUUAUGGGUCUUUAUAGCAAGCAGGGGUUAGCCAAAAGGGUCUUUACCCAGGCAAAUUAGAGGGACAGUAUCUUUUUUUUAGUAAGCUUGCUGUAUCAGAUUUAGUGAUGGAUUAUACCAAAAGAUCACAAUCUAUUUUUAAUGUCAGCCACUUUUGUGGAGAUCUUCACAGCAUGACUUUAACAGAAAACAAAAAAAAAAUCCAUGACUGGCAAAUGACUUGGGUUUUCUUUGCAGUAUUAUUGUCUUUAUUGAAUUUUGAAUGAAAAUCAUUGGGGUUGUGGCAUCCAGAUUUAUUUUGAGGCAACCUGGAGCAAGAGGAAAGUCAUUCUGUCUCAAAUGGAUGUGACACUGGUUUGGGUGUGGCCCGGUUCACUGCACACUUCAAGCUGAGCUACAUGCAAAUAAAUUGCAGUGUUGCGGUCUUAUACCUAUUUUUUUCCUCCCCCCUUCCUUUUUAAUAGCUAAUUUCAGCUUUGAUAGUUACUCACUUUGUAACAAUGUACAGUUUAAACUUGUAAAUUGGAAAGGGAUGUGGGUGGAAGAUGCUGAUGACUGAAUGCCUUGGGUGCUAGUUGUGUGCUUUUCUUUUUCCCAUGAUUUCCUUCCUUUAAUGAAAAGUAUGGUAUAAAAUGAUAAUAUAUUGUAGUUUGCUUGAAUUGUGUGUUUCCGGUCAUGUUAGUUAAGUUUUGGAUUUCUGAAGUUUUGACCAGAUGUUGUGCACAUGCUCUAACUGUAGCCUUUCACUGUAUAUUACAUCCAAACCAAGCAACUGAUCUGUUAGCGUUAUAUCUGUUGUGAAACAUAUUUUUUCUUUCUUGGCCCACACACAAAUUAUGGGGGAAAACAAAUCAAAACACUGACUCAAUUGCCACCAUGUUUCAUGCAAAAUAUCUAAAGACCCUAGUUCAUGGUGUGCACUUAAAAAGGAAAAUAGCUUCUCAGGAGUACAGUUUGAUUUACAGUGUGUUCAAUCCAAUAUAUACCUGGUAAGUGGAUUGGGGUACUGAGGACAAAACAUCCUGAGCAGGCAAUUAUUUGUCCAGGUUAGAAUUGAGAUGGUAAAGUAUAAUGUAACUUUCAUUUUAGGCUUCACUGUUAAAUUAGUUUGUAAAAGUAAUUUUCCCUCAAGUUUUUGUGCUGUGGUCAAUUUAUACCUUCACAAAUCCUGAGACUAAUGUGAAUUUUGUGAAGUCAAACACAUAUCAAUUUUGUUGGCCUUUCUGUGCUAGACUUUCAUUGCAUAUCGGAGGAAUGCAAAUCCAAAUGUUAUAUUUUAAUAAACACCAGCAAUAUUAGUCGGUGAAACAUUUAAUUUUGAAAGCUUACAACUCCUAUGCAAUUGAAAUAUGUACUCCAAUCAUAAUGACAAACUUUUAACUGCAAAAUACAACCAAUAAAAAAGCAACUUCUUACAAAGUCGGAUAAUGUUAAAUGUGCAUUACAUCAGAUCAGUAUUACUCCUUCACCCAACAUUCCUAGCCUUUUCAAACUGCCUACUAGUAUCAUGGAGUUGCUGUUUCUAUUCUUGGGAGAAAAAGACACCACAGUUGACAUCAACUAAGUCUUGUAUAGGCGCUGCAGUUUUAGUUGUGUUGAAAAUUAAGUACAAGUUGUACCUCAGCUUGUGGAGAAUUUACAUAUCCAGCAAAUUUAUAAAAGAAUUUUAAAGAUGGAGUAAUUCAUUGUUCAUUUUGGGAAUGGUAGCAGAAUCUCGAGCCAGUCCAGCUCUCCAGAGAACUGAAGUUUAUGAGCCAACCACCAUGCUUUAUUAUUAUCCAAGCCUAAUUCUUUAAAACUCAGUGACUUUGAUGAAAGAAAAGACUGGUUUUCUUUAGAAGCAGUCUUUAAUAUUGCUGCUUUUAAACUUGUUUAGAGAAUUUUCUUCACACUGUGUAAUGUCAUAAAUUCUCUUAAAAUUAGUUGUUUCACUAUGCAUUAAUUGUGGAGAGAAUAUAAAGCCACUGUUAAUUAUGUUUUUGAUUUUUAUUUCAGAAAAUUCAUUUAGAAUUAUUCUUAAUUGGAUCUACCAUGUUAAAGAGUCUUAGUUAGACUGUAUCAAUAUGAUGCCAAUCCUCAAAAUGACUUGUGCCCCACAUAAACCCAGCAGUUUUGUUUUACAAGGUUGAGUCUAAAAGCAUCUUCACUAUAAACUGAGAAUGGGUUUCUGAGUCGAAUUACUUCAUCAACUGCACAGGAGGCAAGAAACCAUCACGGGACUAACUGAUACGCAAGAAGAUUCAUUAUGUCCUGUGAAGCCUCAAAGACUGGACUUAAUGGUGCCUUUUGAAAUGGAUUUGUUUUUAUAAUUACAUGGGCUAUCAGUACACUGCUCCUUGUAAUGAAGUUAGAUUACAUGUAGCAUUUUUGAUUUUGUGUGUGACUUGGUGGCAGCACUGAAAUUUAACUGUGCAGCCCUUUUUUUAAUUUUUUAAUCUUGCUCACUUUACCUACUUCCCUAUGAUAAAUCAUGGCAGGAUUAGUCACUGAAAUUGGUAGAGUUCUAAAGAAAUUGACUGAUUCAUAAUCCAAGCUUUAAGGAUGGAGAUUUCUAUAAACGGGGGGGGGGGGGGGGGGUAAAAAGAAAGAGCUGGGCUAAUUCAGCCCCUAAUCAGAUGAAAUCCUAGCAAUUUUUGGGAGGGGGCAGAUGUAUUUUUUAAUGACCCAUAUUCUGGAAGAGUGGUAAAUGACGUGCUGCAAAUACAUAAAACUGUGAACAAAACUUCCAUGACCAUCAGUACCAAUAAAAUGGGUUAUUAUUUUUUGAUGGGAGUGUAGCAUUGCCUCUGGUCGGCAAUUCCACCAUAACGUUACCUGUUUUUCUAUUGUAAUUCAAAACUAGAGGUGAAUAGUUUAAUGGUCAUUUAAUGAGUUGCUUCAUAAGUGACCCUCUUUAAUGCAUUUUAUUUUCAAUGUGUGGUUUCUUGCCCAGCAAAAUGCAGGCUUCUGGCUUAAAUUGGUGCAUACACUUCAUUUACUUUUGUUAUAUUUUACAAUAUAUUGACUGCAUUUAUUGUACAUUAAUUCACUAAAACCCUAGGAUUUUGAAUUUGUACAGAGCACAAUUUAUUAUAUUCAAGCAACACUUGAUCUAGCUUGUGUUUGGAAAAUGCAAUGUGUAAAUAAAUUGUUGUACACAUAUAAUACCACAUAAGGUGAUUUCUUGUCAGACACUCGUCAACACUGCCUGGUUUUCACUUAAGGGUUAUUCUGCUGAAAUGCUAAAAUGUAACAUUAUAUAGAUUUAAAGAUAGUCUGUCCUAUGCAAUUAUCACAUUCUUCCCAAAAUAACAGAAUUCUGCUCUAGAGACAUGAGAAUAUUCUAUUGUCCCAGUUUGUGUUAAUUAGAUAUAUCCAACAAAUGAAUAUUAUAGAGAUGUAACUCCAUGCAAGCACUGCUCUUGGAUAGGAGCCUUUGAUAGAAGUGACACGUACUGUUGAGUGACUAUAAAUGGGAGUGUGUGCAUUGACUUUAAGUUUAAAUAACUUUGCAUUAUUCACAUUUUUAUGGGAGAGCUAUUUAAAUUUGUAUGAGUGUUCUUGAAAGUCUCAUUGGUUCUAAGUUUAAACUGAGUUAUUUGUGUACUGCAUUGUAGUACUUUGCCUCUUUGUACCAAAAUUAGAAGUAUAAUUGUGCAGAGGUUUACAAUAUCUGACUCCAAGACUUAAAAGCAGACUUUUAUUUGCCGACCAACAUUUCUACCAAUAAGCAUGAAGAUGCCUAAAAUAGAGGACUGAUGACUAAUCUAAGCUUAAAAUGUAGCAAUAGCAUAUUGGAAUUCAAUCAUAAUACUACAUGAUUUUUCACCCUCAUCUAAUUAAAAAUUUGUAGUUUCAUUUGUACACAAUCUGACUUAUCCAGCUCAAGAAUAGAUUUCACCCCAACACACAAAAAGAACAAAUCACUCAAAUGGCAGAAAAAUGAGCAAAAAACAUAGAAUAUAAAACAAGUUACAGUCAUUGAAGCAGUCUAGGAGUGUUCAGUUAAAUUUACCACUGUAUCUAAUGUUGACUGCAGGCUGCAGAACCUGCUACCCUGAUCAAAAUUGUGCAAAGUAGCAAUUUUAAAAAAACAAACACAUCAUAGCAUGAACUGCAGUGUCCAAUCCACCAACCACAUUCAUUAAACCUUACCCAGGAUUCCAGCAACAAGAGGGAGAGAUGGACUGGUCAAGUGCAGGCAGACAGUGCCUCACCACCUCAUCCUCAUUGAUUUCACUCUUGCUCGAUGGUUUAAUCAACAAGAAAUUGAGUCACUGGUUCUGUAACUGCUGUGCUUCUAUUUGCAAAAUGGACAAAGGCUGAUCUCUGUUAAAUAUCUGACUGUAAUGCAGUAAAUAAAGAAUUAUCCUCAGGAAUCUCCCAAGCUAAAUAAAUCUUAAAGCCUAGUAUUUAAUUAAAACUUGCAGCUUAGUUUUGAUAGAAUUAAAUGUUCCUUUCAGUUUUGCAGCACAGAUCUGCAGAGUAGAGAUUUGAGAUAUCCUGAGUUGAAAUCUUCAUUUAAACACUUCGAGAUUCCUUGUGAUUUAGUGACAAUAUAAAAUAUCUGGAGUAAGCACUUGAAUUCAGCUGUGUGUUGAAUGAGGUAGGAGGGUGGAUGGAUGGAAAUUGGCCAUUAAAAGACACUUACAUGGCUUCCUGUGUCUUAUCAAAAUUAGACACCCAAGCUGUUUGAACCAAGCAACAUAGGAAAGGUGAUGGAAAAUCUUUAAGCUUAAAGGUAAGGUUGCUAAGUCGGCAUUUCAGACAUUGGCCAAGAAUUAUUGAAAGUAUAACAAUUCAAUUUGCUGAAGAAGUUUGACAAAUUUCUACAAGUGCAGAGUAUCUUGACUAGUUGCAUCAUGACCUGGAAUGGAAAUACCAGUGCCCAAGAAUGGAAAAAACACAAAAGUGGUGGAUGCUGCCCAGUCCAUCACAGGAAAUAUCUAACAAGGAACAUAGCCUCAUGAAAGCAUCCAUCAUAAAUAACCCUCACCAUCCAGGCCAUGAUCUCUUCUCACUGCUGACAUCUGAAAGUCCCAUCCCACCAGAUUCAGGAUCAGUUAUUACAUUAAAACCAUCAGGUUCCGAACCAGUGUGGAUAACUUCACUCACCUCAGCACUGAACUGAUUCAAUUUCAAAGAUUCUACAACUCAUGUUCUCAGCAUCAUUUGUUUAGUUAUUGUUAAUUUUUCUUUUGUAUUUGCACAAUUUGGCUGGCUUUGUGUGUAGAUUUUCAGUGAUUUUAUUGUGUUUGUAUCUGUGAAUGCCCACAAGAAAAUGAAUCUCAGGGUAGUAUAAAGAGACAUUUAUGUACUUUGAUAAUUGAACUGUAUUCAAGUGGGUCAACUAGCUGUUCAAGAUGGUGAUGCCAUUGAAUACAAUGGAUAUGUGGUUGCAGUUUUACCAUUUUGGAAUUGGUCAAUAGUUAGCACUUGGCAACUGAUUCCACAACCUAUGGACUCGCUUUCAAGGACUCUGCAACUUGGGUUCUCAGUAUUAAUUAUUAUUAUUAUUGUUUCUUUUGUACAUUGAUUGUCACUCUGCAGUUUUUAAUUGAUUCUAUUUGUUUAUUCUAUUGUGAAUUCUAUUAGAAUCUAUUGUUAAUCUACAAGAAAAUAAAUCUUGAGCCAGAGUGAAGAGUUUGAGAUUGAAACUUGGAUGUAAAUUGAAUGUCAAACUUCCUGAGUCUAAUUUAACUUCAGAUUAGGGAUGGAAAUGAAAUUUGGAAUUUGUGGUAGAUGGAAGUCUUUGCAGAUGACAGCAAAUCUCUGUCACCACUGCUGUCCUCUGAACAAAACUCACUGGGUGGAUCUAGUUUACACAACAAAAAAGUAGUGCAAGAUACAAAAUCAAGUUGAAAUGCUAAAUAAUGUAGAGAAAAGGUCAUUGGCCGUAAUCCACCAACAUCGCAGGACUUGUGUGUGUCCAGGACAACCAAGUGGGCAAGAAACUCAUUGUGGACAUUGCCCAGCUAGUAAGCUACUUUUUCCUGAAGCUCCCUUCUGCAAAGUACUAAAACAAGAACAUCACGUUUCUUCCCCCAGGCAGUUGAUCUGAUCAACAAUUCAAGUUGGACCCCACCCUCUAUUUAUUACCCCUCGUCACUGCACUGCAACCUCUUUAAA